AGUGAACGCUGGCGGUAGGCCUAACACAUGCAAGUCGAACGGCAGCACAGUAAGAGCUUGCUCUUACGGGUGGCGAGUGGCGGACGGGUGAGGAAUACAUCGGAAUCUACUUUUUCGUGGGGGAUAACGUAGGGAAACUUACGCUAAUACCGCAUACGACCUACGGGUGAAAGCAGGGGAUCUUCGGACCUUGCGCGAUUGAAUGAGCCGAUGUCGGAUUAGCUAGUUGGCGGGGUAAAGGCCCACCAAGGCGACGAUCCGUAGCUGGUCUGAGAGGAUGAUCAGCCACACUGGAACUGAGACACGGUCCAGACCCCUACGGGAGGCAGCAGUGGGGAAUAUUGGACAAUGGGCGCAAGCCUGAUCCAGCCAUACCGCGUGGGUGAAGAAGGCCUUCGGGUUGUAAAGCCCUUUUGUUGGGAAAAAAAAGCAGCAGGUUAAUACCCCGCUGUUCUGACGGUACCCAAAGAAUAAGCACCGGCUAACUUCGUG
rnacentral:rRNA from 1 species